rnacentral:rRNA from 1 species
CCUUCGGGGACAAAGUGACAGGUGGUGCAUGGUUGUCGUCAGCUCGUGUCGUGAGAUGUUGGGUUAAGUCCCGCAACGAGCGCAACCCUUGAUUUUAGUUGCCAGCAUUUAGUUGGGCACUCUAAAGUGACUGCCGGUGCAAGCCGGAGGAAGGUGGGGAUGACGUCAAAUCAUCAUGCCCCUUAUGACCUGGGCUACACACGUGCUACAAUGGAUAGUACAAAGGGUCGCGAAGCCGCGAGGUGGAGCUAAUCCCAUAAAACUAUUCUCAGUUCGGAUUGUAGGCUGCAACUCGCCUACAUGAAGCCGGAAUCGCUAGUAAUCGUGGAUCAGCAUGCCACGGUGAAUACGUUCCCGGGCCUUGUACACACCGCCCGUCACACCACGAGAGUUUGUAACACCCGAAGUCGGUAGGGUAACCUUUAUGGAGCCAGCCGCCGAAGGUGGGACAGAUAAUUGGGGUGAAGUCGUAACAAGGUAGCCGUAUCGGAAGGUGCGGCUGGAUC